rnacentral:rRNA from 1 species
GACAUGGCUCAGGACGAACGCUGGCGGCGUGCCUAAUACAUGCAAGUAGAACGCUGAAGGAAGGAGCUUGCUCUUUCCGGAUGAGUUGCGAACGGGUGAGUAACGCGUAGGUAACCUGCCUGGUAGCGGGGGAUAACUAUUGGAAACGAUAGCUAAUACCGCAUAACAGUAGAUAUCGCAUGAUAUUUGCUUGAAAGGUGCAAUUGCACCACUACCAGAUGGACCUGCGUUG